ensembl:lncRNA
GCGGUUAACUUCAAGCGGCCGGCACUUCGGGCCUUCCGCUCGGCCGGUUCCCACCGGCAGAGCCUCCAAGCCCGUACCGCACCGGGCGCCGUUCGCUUUGCACGCCGCCCCUCCCGCCGCCCCUCCUCAUCCGGCGUCGGAGAUCUGGAGGCCCCCGGGACGGCGGUGCCGUGGGGUCCCCGGGCGUUCGCGCCUCUCUCUGCGGCUCCAUGGCAGGCGCUCAGGUGGAGCCGGAGCAUUGAGUCCUUGUGGCCGCCGGGGGGCGCCACGCGCUGAGGGAACCGGCUCGCGACGCACGUGGCCACGUACGCACGUACGCCGCGUACGGGCGGCGUGUCCCCGAAGUCGCUCCUCGAGGGCCCGCCCCCAAGGCUGGGAAGGAACGAGCCCAUUGGUCAGCCCCGCGUUGGGGGGGCGUUUCCAUCCUACACCCGGAAGGGAAGGGUGGGCCCGGGGCCGCGUAGGGAUGCCACGGGACUGCGGUUCAGGGUUGGGAGGAGGCCCCGUUUCCUUGCUCACUGCUGGCGGCCCUCAGCUCCUCCCUGAUGGUCUCGGCAUUGCCCGCCCCGUCCUCCAGGUCAGCACUGCAGAGUCCAAGUUCGUUAAUCAGAAUAUCAGAAUUAAAAUCCUAGAGCAGAGAGAGCCCCGGUUUCACUCGCGUCUUCCUCCCAAGCUACAUCCUUGCCCCGGUACGUGAGCUCGGACAGCAGCCUGUGAGGACCUUGAGGGCAAGAAUUGUCUUUCAUCACCACUUCCUUCAUGCUGGGAACCCAGCUGCUAACAGUCUCAACACAGUGCCAGAGUUCAGCCUGAGACAAGCCAUCCCUAAAUUAUGGAAUUGCAGAACCAGGGGGUCCUCAGAGGUCACCUUCCAUACCUUACAGUUGUGAUGGGACUAAAGACCAGACAUUUCAAGUUACGAAUGAGAGAUCCACCACAAGGCAGUGCUAGGCAUACCCAGUCGCCCACUUCCUUUCUUGAGUUUUCAUAAAGGUGCUGUAUAAACAACUAGAAGAACAGAUUCCAUAGUCCUGCUGUUCAUGGACUGUGCUUGCCAUCAUGAGGACAACACAGUUCUGUUGUUCUGUAGACUUAAGGUAUUAAAAGUGAGUAUCUCUUAUUUACAUCUGUGGAGAAAUCUGAAAAAGUUCUCUAGAGUAGGUAAAAGUAUUACAUCAACGAGAGCUUCCUUGUUUUAAAACUUGUGGCUUUUUAAGAGAACCUCCUUACAUUUGGAAAUUAAACACUGAAGUAUUUAGGGGUAAUGAAACAUUGUGUCUGUAGUUUCUGUUAAAUGGCUAAAAAAUGUGAGAGAAAGAGGUGGGGGCUUAUGUAUAAUAGGGUAAUAACAGAAAUGGAAAGUAACAAAAAUAUUAAGGCUGUGUUUUAGAGUGAAGUCAGAAAAUUGGUUGAUGAUUUAAAUAUGUAGGGUAAAGUAGAAGAAUCAUGGAAACAGAUUUUUAACUGAACGAUAAGACAGUAACUGAGUAAUGGUUUCAUCAGUUGAGAAAGGGAAGACUGGGGUAAACAAUGUGUUUUGAGAAGAGAGGUAGCAGGUAAGCUACCAAGAAUUCUGUUCUGUCCAUGCUGUUUUAAACAGCCAACACUGAAAUUAAGUGGGAAUAUCAAGUAUGCCAUUGGAUAUAGGAGUCCUGAAUAUUAGGGAAAUUUCAGCUUUGAAAU